rnacentral:misc_RNA from 1 species
AAGUCGUAACAAGGUUUCCGUAGGUGAACCUGCGGAAGGAUCAUUAUUGAAUACGAUUGGUACUGAUGCUGGCUGCUUCGGUGGCAUGUGCUCGUCCAUCUAUUUAUCUUCUCUUGUGCACAUUUUGUGAUUCUGGAUUGAUACGCUGGUCAAGGCUGGCGCUCGUCUUCGGGCGGUUUGGGGGGUUGAGUUCACUUCAUUGUGUUCACUCCCUCUGUUAUCAUCUGGUCUCAUGUUUUCAUAUACCCUUUAUAAAGUUACAGAAUGUCUUUUAUGGAUUGCGUUCAUUCGUGAUCUUUAAACCUAUACAACUUUUAGCAACGGAUCUCUUGGCUCUC